rnacentral:tRNA from 1 species
GGUAUAGUUCAGUGGUAGAGCACGUGCUUAGCAUGCAUGAUGCCCUGGGUUUGAUCCCCAGCACC